UCAGGGCCCAACAGGCCAGAGUUUCUGAUUCCAAAAAAUGGGGUGCUGGAGAGGGGAGAAGAGCAGCCCUUGUGUACUUGGCUGCCACCCUUUUCACCACUGCUGCUGCCUCCUCUUCUGCCAAUGCUGGGGUCAUUGACGACUACCUGGAAAAGAGCAAAGCGAACAAGGUUUGUUCCAGGAUCCUUCUUUUUAUGUUUUUAUUUUUAUUUUGACUCCUAUACAAUUAUAAACAAUACUUAUACUGAGGUCGGAUCAUGAAUAGGAGUUGAACGACAAGAAAAGGUUGGCUACAAGCGGAGCAAACUUUGCCAGAGCAUACACUGUUCAAUUUGGAACCUGCAAGUUCCCUGAGAACUUCACUGGCUGCCAGGAUCUCGCCAAGAAAAAAGUGAAACCCAUACUCUCAACUAAUGUCCUCUGUUUUCCCAGUUGUAUUACAAUGAUGACUGUAUAACUGAUUUUCUUCCG
rnacentral:lncRNA from 1 species